UGUGAGAUCUGACGGAACCACCUGUGUUGAUGUCGUGUGGUGACCAAUAACUACGUGCUGGAGAGCCCUACCCCUCCUCUCCGCCAGUGCUUACAGAAUCGCCAAACAAAUACGUUGAUAUUUUUCGGUGCAAUGCAGAAGUACAUGCAUUGUGUGAGGGACUGCCAUUCAAAGCGCAACGUGCUGCCGAGAUGGUGCCUAUUAUAAUGCUGUUAUAUGGAUUCCACAAGAGGAGAAGAGUGCGAGAGGAGUCUCUGCUGCGUCACCGGCACUGAGGUCUUUGGUUCGCAUCCAGACGGACGACUGUAUCGAAUCUCACAACAGGACUCCACUGCCUCCUUCAGUACUAUCAUUAAGAAGUGCAGUCUAUAACUACGGAAAAGUGAGUUUCGCACUUAAUGCAGUAGCUCAGGAAGUGACCAGCUGCGUCAUUGUUGAGGCAAACACCACAUUCUUCGUCUGGAC